GGAGCCGUAUCGAAGUGGUCAUAACGGGCUCGAUUGGAAUUCGAGUAGGCUUAACGGCCCCGUGGGUUCGAAUCCCACCGGCUCCGCCA
rnacentral:tRNA from 3 species